rnacentral:rRNA from 1 species
UACAGGGGGGGCAAGCGUUGUUCGGAAUUACUGGGCGUAAAGGGCUCGUAGGUGGCCAACUAAGUCAGACGUGAAAUCCCUCAGCUUAACUGGGGAACUGCGUCUGAUACUGGAUGGCUUGAGUUUGGGAGAGGGAUGCGGAAUUCCAGGUGUAGCGGUGAAAUGCGUAGAUAUCUGGAGGAAUACCGGUGGCGAAGGCGGCAUCCUGGACCGACAUUGACGCUGAUGAGCGAAAGCUAGGGGAGCAAACGGG